UACGUAGGGGGCAAGCGUUGUCCGGAUUUAUUGGGCGUAAAGAGCUCGUAGGUGGUUCGGUAAGUUGGAUGUGAAAUCUCCAGGCUCAACCUGGAGGGGUCAUUCGAUACUGCCGUGACUAGAGUUCGGUAGGGGAGUGUGGAAUUCCUGGUGGUAGCGGUGGAAUGCGCAGAUAUCAGGAGGAACACCAAUAGCGAAGGCAGCUCGCUGGGACGUUACUGACACUGAGGCGCGAAAGCGUGGGGAGCGA
rnacentral:rRNA from 1 species